rnacentral:rRNA from 1 species
CCUACGGGAGGCAGCAGUGAGGAAUAUUGGUCAAUGGACGAGAGUCUGAACCAGCCAAGUAGCGUGAAGGAUGACUGCCCUAUGGGUUGUAAACUUCUUUUAUAUGGGAAUAAAAUGUUCCACGUGUGGGAUUUUGUAUGUACCAUAUGAAUAAGGAUCGGCUAACUCCGUGCCAGCAGCCGCGGUAAUACGGAGGAUCCGAGCGUUAUCCGGAUUUAUUGGGUUUAAAGGGAGCGUAGGUGGAUUGUUAAGUCAGUUGUGAAAGUUUGCGGCUCAACCGUAAAAUUGCAGUUGAAACUGGCAGUCUUGAGGACAGUAGAGGUGGGCGGAAUGCGUGGUGUAGCGGUGAAAUGCUUAGAUAUCACGAAGAACUCCGAUUGCGAAGGCAGUUCACUGGACUGCAACUGACACUGAGGCUCGAAAGUGUGGGUAUCAAACAGGAUUAGAUACCCCAGUAGUC